CCCAUCUCAGCUGGUACAGAGAGGGACGCAAGCUCUCCACCGCUGACGGAGUGGUACUGCUGCCAGGUGGGCAGGUACUCCAGAUUCCACGGGUCCAGCAGGAGGAUGCUGGGAAAUAUACAUGUCAGGCGGUGAACGAGGCAGGGGAGGACCGCAUGCACUUUGACCUGGAGGUUCUGGUCCCCCCAGUGAUAACGGGCCAGUUGGAUGAGUUCAUGGAGGAGAUAGGAGCAGUGGUGAACAGUACCGUGGCUCUCCACUGUGACGUGACGGGUCACCCAGAACCAGCCAUCUCCUGGCUGAGGGACGGCACACCGCUGCCCUCCGGACAACACCACAGCAUCA